GAUGAAGAACGUAGCGAAAUGCGAUAAGUAAUGUGAAUUGCAGAAUUCAGUGAAUCAUCGAAUCUUUGAACGCACAUUGCGACCGCCAGUAUUCUGGCGGGCAUGCCUGUUCGAGCGUCAUUUCAACCAUCAAGCCCCCGGCUUGUGUUGGGGACCUGCGGCUGCCGCAGGCCCUGAAAAGCAGUGGCGGGCUCGCUGUCACACCGAGCGUAGUAGCAUACAUCUCGCUCUGGGCGUGCUGCGGGUUCCGGCCGUUAAACCACCUUCAUAACCCAAGGUUGACCUCGGAUCAGGUAGGAAGACCCGCUGAACUUAAGCAUAUCAAUAAGCGGAGGA
rnacentral:misc_RNA from 1 species